rnacentral:misc_RNA from 1 species
GGAAUCCAUCAACUGAUAUGCAGGCCAGGGAGCGUGCUUGGCGUAUUGGUCAGAAAAAAGAUGUUACUGUGUAUAGAUUGAUUACCCGAGGAACCAUUGAGGAGAAGGUGUAUCAUCGACAGAUUUAUAAGCACUUUCUUACCAACAAGAUAUUGAAAAACCCACAGCAAAGAAGAUUUUUCAAAGCAAGAGAUAUGAAGGAUCUCUUUACAUUAAAUGAUGAUGGAAAUGGGGGGUCUACAGAAACAUCUAGUAUUUUCAGCCAGGUAUCUGUAGAUGUGAACAUUGUUGGGGCUCCAGAUAGUCAAGAGAGACUAUCUUUUCAAGCACCGGUGGCAAAGGAUGAUAAUUCCAAGAUUGAAGAGGCAGACAACUCAGAUCCCAAGGGAAAAGCGGGAGAUGAUAACAAUAAUGGGGAAUUAGAUGAAGAAACAAGUAUACUGCGGGGUCUUUUUGAUGCUCAUGGGAUCCAUAGUGCGAUGAACCAUGAUGCUAUCAUGAAUGCUCAUGAUGAAGAAAAGUUGAAGCUAGAAGAGCAGGCAUCCCAAGUAGCUCAGAGAGCUGCAGAAGCACUGCGUCAAUCAAGAAUGCUUCGAAGCCGAGAAGGUGUAGCAGUGCCAACCUGGACUGGCAAAUCAGGAGCUGCUGGAGGGCCAUCGUCUGCUAAAAAGAAAUUUGGUUCUACAGUUAAUCCUCAACUAACCAGUAAAUCAUCUGAAGAAUCCUUGAAUGGCUAUGAUGCUAUUAGGGGAAAUGCUUUUCCUGCAGGGGCAUCUGCUGGAAAAGCAUUGUCUUCAGCCGAGUUAUUGGCUAAGAUAAGGGGGAACCAAGAGAAAGCUGUUAGUGAUGGACUUGUACAUCAGUUUGGUACGCCAGCUUCAACCUCCAACAGCAGAGCAGGAUCUGUAAGUAAUGGGAACCGGAGUGCUUCUUCUAGCUCUGUGGUUCAGCCCGAAGUGUUGGUACGCCAGAUUUGUACAUUUAUACAACAGAGAGGUGGAAAAACCACUUCAGCCAGUAUCGUAGAUUAUUUCAGGGACAGGAUACCAUCAAAGGACCUGCCCCUUUUCAAGAAUCUAUUGAAGGAAAUAGCGAUUCUUGAGAAAAACCCCAGUGGGUCUUUCUGGGUUCUAAAGCCUGAAUAUCAGGAUCAGUA